UACGUAGGUGGCAAGCGUUACUCGGAAUCACUAGGCGUAAAGCGCAGGUAGGAGGUUCGAUAAGUCUGUUGUGAAAGCUCCCGGCUUAACUGGGAGAGGUCAACGGAAACUGUCGAGCUAGAGUGCGGUAGAGGUAGCUGGAAUUCCCGGUGUAGCGGUGAAAUGUGUAGAGAUCGGGAGGAACACCGGUGGCGAAGGCGGGUCUCUGGGCAAUUCCUGACGCUGAGGCGCGAAAGCGUGGGGAGCAAACGGG
rnacentral:rRNA from 1 species